UGGGGUCACAGUCAACACAAGGUGAACCAAUCUGACUUUUGAGUUAGAUUUCAAAAACUCAGAAACAAACAUGCGUCACCAGUCAUACAGAUAAAUAGAUGGAACAGGAAGAUUCUCCGCUUCAGGUUAACUGCGCACGAUUUUUCUCUAAAGGCCUCGCACAAGGAACCGGAAGACUAAUCUACCUAAUUAAGAGUCGUUCGCAUCACGACAAAGGAGUUAAUGAGAUAGUUCUACGAAACAAACAAAAUUUUGAAAAUGCUAACGAAUUCAGUUAAUUAUUAGCUGUUGGCAAUACAAAGUCACACAUCCACUCAUCCAACAACCAAUUAGAGGAAGAACUUCUUUGGGGUCACAGUCAACACAAGGUGAACCAAUCUGACUUUUGAGUUAGAUUUCAAAAACUCAGAAACAAACAUACAUCACCAGUCAUACAGAUAAAGAAAUGGAAAAUCAAAGCACUUAAAACAAAAGAUUCUGAACAAAACCACUAAAGGUAAAAAGAUUACAAUGCACAGAUCCAACAGAAAGAAUCAACAGUCAAACACAAAGAGCACAGAUAAAAAAACACCCAAACACCAACAUCCCAACA
rnacentral:lncRNA from 1 species